AUUGAACGCUGGCGGCAGGCCUAACACAUGCACGUCGAACGAGUGGCGGACGGGUGAGUAAUGUCUGGGAAACUGCCCGAUGGAGGGGGAUAACUACUGGAAACGGUCGCUAAUACCGCAUACCAUCGGAUGUGCCCCGAUGGGAUGAGCUAGUAGGUGGGGUAACGGCUCACCUAGUCGCCGAGCCCUAGCUGGUCUGAGAGGAUGACCAGCCAGACUGGAACUGAGACACGGUCCAGACGCCUACGGGAGGCAGCAGUGGGGAAUAUUGCACAAUGGGCGCAAGCCUGAUGCAGCCAUGCCGCGUGUAUGAAGAAGGCCUUCGGGUUGUAAAGUACUUUCAGCGAGGAGGCGUUACUCGCAGAAGAAGCACCGGCUAACUCCGUGCCAGCCGCCGCGGUAAUAC
rnacentral:rRNA from 1 species